CCUUCAUCCAGUAGCUGAUGGAAGCAGAAGCAGACACCCACAGCUAAGCACUGAGCUGAAUUUCUGUAAUCCAAUUGUAGAGAGGGAGGAGUGAUGAGCAAAGGGGUCAAGACCAGGUUGGAGAAACCCACAGAAACAGCUGACCUGAACAAGGGGGAGCUCAUGGACUCCAGACUGACAGGUUGGAAACCAGCAUAGGACAGAUCCAGGCCCCCUGAAUGUGGGUAUCAGUUAGAAGAUUUGGGCAGUUUAUAGGACCUCUGGUAGCAGAUUAUUAUUUAUCCCUGGUGUACAAAUGAACCUUGGAGGCCAUUAUCCAAAGAGGGAUACUCUCUCAGCCUAGGCUCUCCCCCAAAUUAUGUUGCAGACUUUGAUGAUCCCUCAUGGAAGGCCCCACACUUUUGACAGAGCAGAAGAGGGAUGGGAUGAUGUUGGUGGGGGGCAUGGCAGGAUGAGAGGGAGAGGGAACUGGAAUGGAUAUAUAAAAUAAGAUUGUUUUGGCCCCAGGAUCUGCAGGCAGACUGACUCAGUCCCUGAGGACCAGGGGAUCCUGACUCUGCUGAGAUCGCUGGGCUAUUCUGGCCCCCACAGAGUGCAGAAAGUGCAGAGGUGAGCUGCUUCAGCCCGAGCCUUGGGUCUAACUUCCAUCUAUUUGCCCACCCUGGCAAACCCUGCCCCGGGAUCUUCGACAGGACGACUCGACCCCUGAGGACCAAGCAACCCAGAGUCUGCUGACAUCUCUGUGCCAGUGCUGCUCUCACCCACCUGGAGAGCGAGUGCCUCAGACCUGCCUGCACCCAACUUGAAAUCCAUCAGAGUAUCAAAGUCAACUGCACACACCUGAAGAGAACACAAGACCCAUACACACCAGGAAAGGAAGUGACACCAACUGUACCCACUGGAAGAAGAGAUGGGAAGACGACAAUAUAAGAACACAUCCAACAACAGGAAAACCAAUAUGACACCACCAGAGUCUAGGGACUCUACACCAGCAAGACAUGAACAUCUCAACACAGAAGAAGCAGAAGAGAACAACCUUAAAAACAACUUCAUGCAGAUGAUAGAGAACCUAAGAGAGGAAAUUGGAAAAUCCUUCAGAGAAAUAGAAGAAAAGACAAACCAAAAGAUGCAAGAAAUCAAGGAAAGCCAAAAAAGCCAAGAAAAUACAAUUAAACAGCUGAAGGAAACAGUUCAGGACCUAGGUAUCAUCUGUCUAGUUUCCUGCUCAAAUUCCUCUAAUCACAGGCUCUACAAGAUCAAACAUGUUUCCUGCAGUAAUUCACUUCCUGGCACUCUCCUGUUUCCUCGGACAGCAUGCAUACUAGUUUCUUUUCACUCCUUCCCUUUCCCCUUACUGUCUUACCUGAGCUGCUCAAUUCCCCAUUUCAGAAACUCUUUGCCUGGAAUGCUCUUCCUCUAUGGCGGCUUCUUAUUGCAGUACAACAUAAAUGUCAGUACCAAAUGACAUUCCUCGAACACUUGAACUGAAAUAGGUGCAUCUGAUCAAUAUUAAUUCUGGUACUCUUGCUUCACGAGAAUGUGACACUUAUGACUCGGGACUUAAGGUCCCAUUUAGCUGCACUAUGUGGGCAAGGGGCUGGCAUAUGGAACUUGAGGUAGACUAGGUUCCUGAUCUUGUGGAGCUAACAUUUUAAAGAUUAAUAAAUUGUGUUCACUGUUGCAUAGACGAGAAGGGCUGAAAUAGUCUAUUCAGAAAGAAUUAAGGGAUUCUGAGACGAGCUAGCAUUUGUAAUGAAACCUGAGUUGUAGGAAGCCGGUUCCUACAUUAUCCAUUACAAUAAUAGGUGCCUGAAGACACCAAGAUGUAAAUUACUUCACAGGCGCUGGGUAAUUUCCAUUCCUUUGAUCUCUGCCUAUCCCGUGGCUCAUUUUGGCCUGAGGAGCUGAAGCCAUUCAUAGGGUAACACGUCCCAGGCGGCUGGCUAGCCUUUAUAAGGGAUGGUUUUCUUGGUUUAGUGUCUCCGCUCAGUCUCCGCUCUGGGAAGCUUAUGCUCUUUCACUCUCAAGAUGCAUUAAAGCUUGUCUGCAGAAGGAUCCGAGUGUCCCGUGUAUGAUUUCUUGCUGGCGAGAAAUACAGAGCGCGCGGGACACUGAGUGAUGGCUGGAAAAAAAGUAGGCACAGAGAACCCAUAGAAGAGAAUUCCCAACAGACAAAAUAGCACCUUUAGCGGUCACAGAGUUCUGCCAGUUCCAGGAAAGUCCAUGCCACUUCAGUACAAGAAAACUGGAUAAUAACAGUAGUAAAUCCAGAUUGCAUAAAUGUUUUAAGGCAAGGCAAGUUUAUAUUUCACUCCAAGUGAAAUGGCAUGCCAUUUAAACUGUUAAUGGCAAUAUUUGACUUACAGUGCAGAGUUUAGCUAUUCCAAUGAUGUAAAAUCUGGAAGUAGUUCAAAAUGAAUUCUGGUAAAUGGACCCCAAACUCACCAUGCACAUUUUCACCAAGCUACAUAGGUGAUUCAUACCAACUUCAGUGUGAGAAACUCCCCAGUAGAGACACCUGGAGUAGGUAAGAAUGGGAGUGUGUGGGUGAUACCUUCCUUUUUUUUUUUUUUUUUUUUUUUUGAGACAGGGUUUCUCUGUGUAGCUUUGGAGCCUAUCCUGGCACUUGCUCUGGAGACCAGGCUGGCCUCGAACUCACAGAGAUUUGCCUGCCUCUGCCUCUCCAGUGCUGGGCUAAAAGGCGUGCACCACCAACGCCCAGCUUACCUUCCUGUUUAAAAGUGCUAACUCAUCUCACUUUAGGCAGUGUUUAGUCAGGAAAGCUCUGACUAUAUUUCUCUCCUCAUUCAGCUUCCCCUUUCCCCUCCUAUUCAGGGAUAUAUGGUUUUAUGCCAAUAGGUAAGUGCUUAUGCUAUGAAAAAGCUAUUGGUUGAUCUCAUAGCCAGCUAAGUGGAAAUUUCUGUGUGAAGUGAUGAUUUAUGAACGGAAAAAAAUGUGUUCAGGUAACAGAUUUGUGCGUCUACUAGGUACUUUGUUUCUGGGUUUCAAGCUGCCCCAGUCCCAUGUGUUACGUUUCAUUACAAGUAUGCAGCCCAAGGCUGACCUAUUAAUACUGUUCCUUCUUCAUAGACUAUGGUUUUACAUUUCCAGAUUUCAACUGAGAAAGUUAUGCCCGUCCAGUUUUGAGGUACAAAAUAUAUUUCGACCUCCUGAAUAGCAGGGUCCAUUUUUCCUCAUGUCCAAUUCUGUAUUUUUCUUUAUUAAAAUUAUUUUUAUGUAUGUAUGCCUGUGUAUAAGUGCACACGUACCAGGGGUGGUCAGAAGACGACAUGCCAGAGUGAUUCCCUCUUUCCACAAUGUGGGUUAUCUGCCUUGUUAGCAAGAACCUUCUAGCUGGUGAGCCAUCAUGUCAACAGGUCCCCAAUUCUGUAUUCUUUUAAAAAGGAACCACUGAACUGCCAGGACAGAAGGAUGUUAUACUUGGGAGCUUGGCUAGAAGAGCAGUGUAUCGCUUUGUCACGGUCAUUAAACAGGACAGUGGAGUUCUGUCUAAUGAUGUUCUCCUAGUCACAUCUCACCAAGACAGUUUAGUUGGUGCAACAGCUGGCGGAAACAGAAACGCCCUUCUGAUUAGUUGCUGGCUGUAUAAAAAAGUUCUGGUUCUUGCUGUGGCUUCUGACACCGGAAGAUUCAUGCAAUCGCCAAAAACUGUCUUGGUGAAUUUCGUGAGACACAGUAAACGUAGGACACCGUCGGGUAGUUCAAUGACCUUAAAACGCUCAACAGUUGAACGUCAUCUACUUUGAACUGUUGUCCCGGUCAAUCUCCUAGUUUGCUUUGGUCACCACCCU
rnacentral:lncRNA from 1 species